CCCUUAGAUGUUCUGGGCCGCACGCGCGCUACACUGAUGCAUUCAACGAGCCUAUCCUUGACCGACAGGUCCGGGUAAUCUUUGAAUCUGCAUCGUGACGGGGAUAGAUUAUUGCAAUCAUUAAUCUUCAACGAGGAAUGCCUAGUAGGCGCAAGUCAUCAGCUUGCGUCGAUUACGUCCCUGCCCUUUGUACACACCGCCCGUCGCUCCUACCGAUUGGGUGUGCUGGUGAAAUGUUCGGAUCGGCCGUUUGUCGCGGUUUCCGCGUCAUGUGGCUGAGAAGUUCAUUAAACCCUCCCACCUAGAGGAAGGAGAAGUCGUAACA
rnacentral:rRNA from 1 species